GACGAACGCUGGCGGCGUGCCUAAUACAUGCAAGUAGAACGCUGAAGAGAGGAGCUUGCUCUUCUUGGAUGAGUUGCGAACGGGUGAGUAACGCGUAGGUAACCUGCCUUGUAGCGGGGGAUAACUAUUGGAGACGAUAGCUAAUACCGCAUAACAAUGGAUGACACAUGUCAUUUAUUUGAAAGGGGCAAUUGCUCCACUACAAGAUGGACCUGCGUUGUACUAGCUAGUAGGUGAGGUAAUGGCUCACCUAGGCGACGAUACAUAGCCGACCUGAGAGGGUGAUCGGCCACACUGGGACUGAGACACGGCCCAGACUCCUACGGGAGGCAGCAGUAGGGAAUCUUCGGCAAUGGGGGCAACCCUGACCGAGCAACGCCGCGUGAGUGAAGAAGGUUUUCGGAUCGUAAAGCUCUGUUGUAAGUCAAGAACGGGUGUGAGAGUGGAAAGUUCACACUGUGACGGUAGCUUACCAGAAAGGGACGGCUAACUACGU
rnacentral:rRNA from 1 species